rnacentral:rRNA from 1 species
GAUGAACGCUGGCGGCGUGCUUAACACAUGCAAGUCGAACGGUGAAGGCGGAGCUUGCUCUGCUGGAUCAGUGGCGGACGGGUGAGUAACACGUGAGCAAUCUGCCCCUGACUCUGGGAUAAGCGCUGGAAACGGCGUCUAAUACUGGAUACGAGCUGCGAAGGCAUCUUCAGCAGCUGGAAAGAAUUUCGGUCAGGGAUGAGCUCGCGGCCUAUCAGCUUGUUGGUGAGGUAAUGGCUCACCAAGGCGUCGACGGGUAGCCGGCCUGAGAGGGUGACCGGCCACACUGGGACUGAGAGACGGCCCAGACUCCUACGGGAGGCAGCAGUGGGGAAUAUUGCACAAUGGGCGAAAGCCUGAUGCAGCAACGCCGCGUGAGGGACGACGGCCUUCGGGUUGUAAACCUCUUUUAGCAGGGAAGAAGCGAAAGUGACGGUACCUGCAGAAAAAGCGCCGGCUAACUACGUG